UUAAAUUGAAGAGUUUGAUCAUGGCUCAGAUUGAACGCUGGCGGCAGGUCUAACACAUGCAAGUCGAACGGUAACAGGAAGAAGCUUGCUUCUUUGCUGACGAGUGGCGGACGGGUGAGUAAU
rnacentral:rRNA from 1 species